ensembl:lncRNA
ACUGUGUCAGGGAGAGGCCCACGGGGCUUCGGCUGAAAGUUCAACCUGACCCCCUUCCUUCCUCUCUCCCCCCUCCCCUCGCCCCUUCCCUGCUGGGAAAAGAAGCGAGUAAACAGGAAACCUACUUUUUAUGUGCUAUGCAAAAUAGACAUCUUUAACAUAGUCCCGUUACUAUGGUAACACUUUGCUUUCUGAAUUGGGAGGAAAAAAAAAAAAGCAACAGCAUUUUAAGGUUCUCAAACCUCCAGUGAAUACCUACAAAAAUGAGUUGUCACAGAAAUUCUUCUUUCUGCUUCCUGAACCUGAAAAUGAUGUUGGUCCAAAGUGCGUGUGUGUGUUUGUGUGAGUGGGUGUGUGGUAUACAUGUGUACAUAUAUGUAUAAUAUAUAUCGCCAGUAUAUAUUAUAUAUAUCUAUAUCAUAUUUCUGUGAAAGGUUGCUAUGGUGACCAGCCACAGUACAUAUGUAAUUCUUUCCAUCACCCUGGCCUCUCCUGUACGUGCAUUCAUACAAGGUUUUCUUGUAAGCCAUCAAAAAUUGACCUUUAGGAUGGGGGAGAGGGGCAGGAAGGGGAGAAAUGGGAACCAGUCUGAUUUCAAUGCAAUUGAAGGUGUGCGUCAUCAGUUGGCUACAUUUUGAGUAUGUGCUAAACUGUGAAAAAAAUCAGAUGAGUUGAUGAAGAGUUGCCUGCAAGCAGUUGACAAGUAGUCUGUGCGUCUGUUUUGUGUGUGGUGCAGAAUAUGACAAUCUACCAACUGUCCCUUUGUCUGAAGUUGGUUCAGCUUUGGAAAGUUACUGUAAAUGCCUUCCUUGUAUUCUCAUCCCUAGUCACCUGACUUUGGAAUUUGCACCAUAAUGUUUAAGUGAAGAUGCUGUAAAUAAGUUCAGAUUUUACUGUAUAUGGAUUUGGGGUGUUACAGUAGCCUUAUUCACCUUUUUAAUAAAAAUACACAUGAAAAACGAGACAGAUAUGGCUUUUCUUACCCAGAUUGUGUACAUAGAGCAAUGUUGGUUUUUUAUAAAGUCUAAGCAAGAUGUUUUGUAUAAAAUCUGAAUUUUGCAAUGUAUUUAGCUACAGCUUGUUAAACAGCAGUGUCAUUCCCCUUUGCACUGUAAUGAGGAAAAAAAAAUGGUAUAAAAGGUUGCCAAAUUGCUGCAUAUUUGUGCCGUAAUUAUGUACCAUGAAUAUUUAUUUAAAAUUUCGUUGUCCAAUUUGUAAGUAACACAGUAUUAUGCUUGAGUUAUAAAUAUUUUUUCUUUUCUUUGUUUUAUUUUGAUAGCCUGUCAUAGGUUUUUUGAUCUGCUUUAGUUCCACAUUGCAGUUAGCCCCCAGCCAAUGAAGUCACGUUCCAAACCUGUUUCAAACUGAAUUUGUUCUUAAAAAAAUAAAAUAUUUUUUUCCUAUGGAAAAAGCGCCUUCAAAGUAUUUUCCUUUUCUGCUUGUUUUCUUUUCCUUUGACUUUCUUUUUUGUUGGUUACUUUAAUUUGCC